CAGCCAACUCCAUCAUUCCCUCUUCAUGCUGUGACUGGGAAUACUGGAUAUGAAUUUACAUGCUCACAUGCAGGCUCUAUUCUCCAUCUGCCAGCGUGUUCUGCAGCACUGCAGAGGCCAGCAUCACAGACUCAGCACACAAUGUGCCUUCAGAAAUGGAGGACUGAGACAUGCCGAAACAUCUUACACUGAAGCCGUCCCUAAAGUGCUGACCUGCUGUCCAGCCUUGGCCCUGGAGGAGCAGGGAAAGAACAGACCUUUGAAGUGAAACGGAUCUCCAUCAGCCUCAGUGCUUUCACAAAGUAGCAGCUCAAAUCUCUUGAGAUGGAAAGAGACAGCAGCAAAGACAUCCUACAGUUUCUGACUGCAGGCCAUUGUACAGCACAGUAGAAGCCUGAUGUAUACAACACGAGGCACACACACUAAAGGAUUCACCAGACGGUUAAUAUGGUAAAGUAUUAGUUUUUGACUAAAGGGUUACUUAGAACUUUUCUUUUAGUACACUCUUUAAGCAAUAACAUUUCCAAAUAGUGACACUUAAA